rnacentral:rRNA from 1 species
UUUCCAUGCAGUCGAGCGGCAGCACGGACUUCGGUCUGGUGGCGAGUGGCGAACGGGUGAGUAAUAUAUCGGAACGUGCCCAGUCGUGGGGGAUAACGUAGUGGAAAUUACGCUAAUACCGCAUACGAUCUAAGGAUGAAAGCGGGGGAUCGCAAGACCUCGCGCGAUUGGAGCGGCCGAUAUCAGAUUAGGUAGUUGGUGAGGUAAAGGCUCACCAAGCCAACGAUCUGUAGCUGGUCUGAGAGGACGACCAGCCACACUGGAACUGAGACACGGUCCAGACUCCUACGGGAGGCAGCAGUGGGGAAUUUUGGACAAUGGACGCAAGUCUGAUCCAGCCAUUCCGCGUGCAGGACGAAGGCCUUCGGGUUGUAAACUGCUUUUGUACAGAACGAAAAGGUCUCUAUUAAUACUAGGGGCUCAUGACGGUACUGUAAGAAUAAGCACCGGCUAACUACGUGCCAGCAGCCGCGGUAAUACGUAGGGUGCAAGCGUUAAUCGGAAUUACUGGGCGUAAAGCGUGCGCAGGCGGUUAUAUAAGACAGAUGUGAAAUCCCCGGGCUCAACCUGGGAACUGCAUUUGUGACUGUAUAGCUGGAGUGCGGCAGAGGGGGAUGGAAUUCCGCGUGUAGCAGUGAAAUGCGUAGAUAUGCGGAGGAACACCGAUGGCGAAGGCAAUCCCCUGGGCCUGCACUGACGCUCAUGCACGAAAGCGUGGGGAGCAACAGGAUAGAUACCUGGUAGUCACGCCCUAACGAGUCACUGGUUGUGGUCU